UCGCACAAAUUCACAAACCCUAUUUAAAAUUACGGAAUCCGUGGUCUUCACGAUUCGAUCCCCGACUUUGUCUUCUCCUUCUCCUCCUCCGCUUCUUCUUCGUCUUCUCUCUCUUCGCGGAAUUGGGGACGAAAACUCCCACCGGAACUUUCUCUGAAUUUUACUUUUAUUCUUCUAGUAAAUGAAUCCUUCUGUUUCUUUAGUUCCUGGUGAUUUCGGAUGAAGACUUAAUCAAUCCUCUCUUCUCUCAAUCGCCGGUGAGGUUUUAGGAUUUCAAACGUUUCUCAUCGGUUUUUGCUUCCAACGCUUUCUCUUCGCCGGUGUUUUUCUUUAACGAUCAUGUUGAUGGCGGGUGAAGCUUCUAAUUUUCCUCUCCAGUAUGCUGACGAUGAUUUUGAUGAAGAUAUGUCCAUGGAGUACGAAAAGCUUUUACAUCUACUGAGUGAGGAUCUGGAUCCUUUGCAGAUUAAAACAGAGGACUUGUCACCAAAUAAUGCAUCGACUGGCCAACCAGCUUUUGAUUCUUCCAACCAAGAAAAUUUCCAACUUCAAAACGAUAUAUCUCAUGGUUUCAUGGAUGUAACAUUGAAAAAUCAUGACAGUUUGGACGGAAAGGGCACAGAGACCUUGAGAUCCUCAGAAAAUAAUUCAUGUGCGUCAGUAGAGUUGCCUUCAUUUGAUGCAGAACAUUCUUCAAAAGAAGUGUUUCCUACUGAGUCCACAGUAAACGCAAGUUUUGAUUUUGCGACUGAUGUUACCGAUUCUUAUUCAACUAUGCCAUACUGGAUGAGUACCGUGGAGCAACCGUUUUUAGUUUCUUCUCAGUACCUUUUUCCAGGAGAUUAUGAUUCUCCGCUUGUUUCUGGAAAUGGGGACAUGACAGUCAACAGGAUGCAUGAAGUAGAGUUUCCAUCCAAUAGCCUGUGCUCAAGUACUACAAUGGAUUUGUAUGCACAGGGGGCUACUGAUCACAAAUCACUAUCAAGAGAAUCAGUCUCAAAGGAUUUAAUUCUUGAUGGGUAUUCAAAUGUAAAGGGAUGGGAUCAGAAUCGUAAAAGUGGAAACUUUAUUUCAUCAUUUGAUGGAAAAUAUCCAUUUCAUGCCAACAAUCUUCAUAUUGGCCGGACAUCCAUGGGGUUUCCAAUGUCUACUGAGCUGAAUUCAUCUUGCAAAGAGCUUGUUAGUCAAAUUAAGAAUGAAACGAUGGAUUCACUGGUUGAAUCUUGUAGUGGUCCAUGGCAAUCUAUGAUGGAGGAGAACUUGUUUUUUCCAUCACAAAGAGUUUUUCGUUCUGAAGAUAUGGUUUGUGGAACGUCUGGCAGACCCUCCAGUGAUGGCAGGUAUCAGAAUUUAUAUAUAACUGACCAAUACUCUCCCAAUGGUCAUUCAUCUAAUUUAAGCAAUCAGCCUUUGGUUUUCAUUAAGGAUGAUAGAGAUCACAAAUUGUCUGUGCGUAAGAGUGAUAUAGAUCAUCCACAAGUCAGCCCUGAAUCAACUCACAGUAAUUUGUCAGACAGGGCCCAUGUGGAGGAUGAUCCAGAUAUCUGUAUAAUUGAAGAUAUGAGUCAUCCUGCACCAUCAAACCGAUCUCUUGUGGUUGGAAAAUCUGUUGCUUCACAAAGUUUUUCUAUAGUCAGUGGCUCUUCCACUUAUACGGGGAUUGGAAGUCUGAGAAAUAAGGCAAAAGACAUAGACAUCUUAAAAGUUGCAUUACAGGAUCUUUCUCAGCCAAAGUCAGAAACUAGUCCACCUGAUGGUGCUUUGGACGUUCCUCUUUUAAGGCAUCAGAGAAUUGCUUUGUCAUGGAUGGUUCAGAAGGAGACAUCUAGUGUACCUUGCGCAGGGGGGAUUCUUGCAGAUGAUCAGGGACUGGGGAAAACAAUAUCGACAAUUGCUUUAAUACUAAAGGAAAGGGCUCCUAUUAGAGCUUGCCCUACUGUUAAAAAUGAAGAGUUGGAGACUUUAAAUUUGGAUGAAGAUGACGAUAUACAUCCUGAGCAUGAUGGACCCAAACAAGAAUUUUCUCAUCAAGUUUCACCAAGCAAAGAUUUAACUUUAAGCAAGAACACUUCGGUACAAGCUAAAGGCAGGCCAGCAGCCGGAACUCUUGUUGUUUGCCCAACAAGUGUGUUGAGGCAAUGGGCUGAUGAAUUACAUAAUAAGGUUUCCAGUAAAGCUAAUUUGUCAGUGCUUGUAUACCAUGGAAGUAGUCGAACUAAGGACCCCUGCGAGCUGGCCAAAUAUGAUGUUGUUUUAACAACGUACUCAAUUGUGAGCAUGGAGGUACCAAAGCAGUCUGUUGUUGAUGAAGAAGAUGAUGAGAAACAGAAUGCAGAGGAACAGGCUAUUCUACCCUCGCAUUUGUCUUCAAGCAAGAAAAGGAAAAACUUAUCUGGUUCUGAUAAGAAACAUUCAAAGAACAAGAAGGGAGUGGACAAUGAAGUUUUUGAAUCAGUUGCCCGCCCUCUUGCUAAAGUGAGGUGGUUCCGGGUUGUAUUGGAUGAGGCCCAGAGUAUCAAGAAUCACAAGACACAGGUAGCCAGGGCCUGUUGUGGUCUGCGGGCAAAACGGAGGUGGUGCUUGUCAGGAACUCCUAUUCAGAAUGCAAUUGAUGAUCUUUAUAGCUAUUUUAGGUUUCUUAAAUAUGACCCCUAUGCUGCAUAUAAGUCGUUCUGUUCAGCAAUUAAGUUUCCAAUCAACAAGAAUCCAACCAAAGGAUACAAAAAACUUCAAGCCAUUUUGAGGACGAUAAUGUUACGUCGCACAAAAGCCACACUUCUUGAUGGGCAACCCAUUGUUACAUUGCCGCCUAAACACGUGGAACUGAAAAAGGUGGAUUUUACUGAGGAAGAACGUGAUUUCUACUCUAAAUUGGAGGCUGAUUCAAGGGCCCAGUACGAAGAAUAUGCCGCAGCUGGAACUGUUAAACAAAAUUAUGUGAACAUCUUACUGAUGCUUUUGCGCCUUCGACAAGCCUGUGAUCAUCCUCUUCUUGUUAAGCCUUAUGACUCUAAAACUUUAUGGAGAUCUUCAGCUGAUGUGGCCAAGAAGCUUCCUCGGGAUAAACAAAUUUUCUUAUUGAAUUGUUUGGAAGCAUCACUGGCUAUUUGUGGCAUCUGUAAUGAUCCACCUGAAGAUGGGGUCGUCUCAGAAUGUGGUCAUGUUUUCUGCAAGCAAUGCAUUUUGGAACACCUCUCUAGUGAUGACUGCCAGUGCCCUAUUGCAGGGUGCAAAGUUCAUCUUAAUGCAUCUUCAUUGUUUUCCAAGUCCUCGUUAUGCACUUCUCACUCUGAUCAGCUUGGUGAGGAUAAUUCUGGGGUUAGCUCUUGUUCCACCGUUGGUGACUCAGUGGAACUCUCUUCAUCAGUUAUGUAUGAAUCUUCUAAAAUUAAAGCUGCUCUUGAGGUUCUGAUGUCAUUGGCUAAACCAAAGGAAUGCUAUUUAAGAAAAACCCCUCCCCAACUUGCUGUUGUUGGAGCCAGUGAGAAAUCAAUGGAUGCUUCAUCCACAGAACUGCGUCUGGAAAGUUCGGAGUGCCAAGAUUCUACAAACAAAAGCUCUUGCGAAUUGGUUAAAAGAGGUGGAGAAAAAGCUAUAGUCUUUUCUCAAUGGACGGGAAUGUUAGAUUUGCUCGAAGCAUGUCUAAAGAACUCCUCCAUUCAGUACAGAAGACUUGAUGGUACCAUGUCAGUACUUGCUAGAGAUAAAGCCGUAAAGGAUUUUAACAAUCUUCCGGAGGUGUCAGUUAUGAUCAUGUCUUUGAAAGCUGCUAGCCUUGGUCUAAACAUGAUUGUUGCCUGCCACGUUCUUCUAUUGGACCUCUGGUGGAAUCCUACAACUGAAGAUCAAGCAAUUGAUAGAGCACAUCGAAUUGGGCAAACUCGUCCUGUGACAGUGUUGAGAUUAACUGUAAGAGACACAGUUGAGGAUCGUAUUUUAGCCCUUCAGGUACCGAUCAUAUGUUUCAUUUCCAAUUUUGAUUCGAGAAGCUCUUGUUUUUUUCUAUAAAUCAGUAUGCUGAGCAAAAUCCAGUUUUUGCCUCAUCAAAGGUUGGGACCUAGGAAAGAUGAGCAGUUUAGCUAGCAAAAGAAAAGAGAGAUGGUUUCAUCUGCCUUUGGAGAAGAUGAAGCAGGUGGUCGACAAACUCGUCUCACAGUUGAAGACCUGAACUACCUUUUUAUGAUGUGAUGAUAGUAGAUAUAACUACAAUUAUUCUUUGGAAUUGGCUGAUUUAGUCUAACAUCAUAUGCACAUAUCAUAUCGAAGUUUUAGGAGGUGAAGGCUGGCUGCAUUGGUUCUAAUUUUAGAAAGCAAGUUGUCCCAACCAUAUUUAGGUUAGAUGGCCAACCUUAUGUCACUUUGACCAGCAGAUUUGACGACACAGCUCCUUUUACCAGAAGAUUUGUGAAUAGCAACUAUAGAAAAUCUUUGAAUCCAUUUUUGCCCACUCAUUCUUUUCCUCACUCACAAUUUGAUGAUCCCUUUGUGACUUCAGUUUUACAUCCCAUUCCCUUAGUAUAUUCCACAGGUUGUAAAGAUCAGAAAUUUAUAGAAAGGAUAGAAGUUUCAAUCUGUUAAAAGACUCUUUUCUUUUCCAAGUGUAAAAAUAUAGAUAGUAUUAUUUGCUUAUCCCAGCUCUAUGGUGUUUGUUUUUC